rnacentral:sRNA from 1 species
GGUCGAGUGGUUUGGCAUGAUCAGGUCCGCUUCUUCCAAUUAGCUCGUCAACAGCUCCGAAUCACUUGAAAACAACACAAAUAUGCCACAUGCAUGCAAAACUAUCCUAAACAUACAAAGUGAUGACAAAUGAUGAGAAAUGGUAUAAAACAAUGAUGAUAUGGUGCUAAAGUGAUGACAAAUGGAUGCUCAAAAUAUGCAAAAUACACAGUUAUCAUUGGCUAACCCAGAUUCCUGCAACAGUGCAUUCAUCAUUUCUUUUAGAGUUCGAUUCUUUCGUUCCGCAAAAUGCAUUGAAUGGCUCAUUAUAUUCUCAUCCUCUAUCACUUCGAACUAUUUUUAUAGUUCUCUGAAGUUGAUUUUCUACUUCGAGUGUAAAUUCUUUGAAUUUUACCAGAGCUUCAUCCUUGCUAUGUAAUAGAUAUACAUAAUAAUAUCUUGUGCAAUCAUCUAUGAAGGUAACAAAAAAUUUCUUACCACCUCUAGUUUGCACAUAUUUCAAAUCACAUAAGUCUGUGU